GGAUGAACGCUGGCGGCGUGCCUAACACAUGCAAGUCGAACGAAGCUUGACGGAUGAUUUCUUCGGAAUGAAACCAGAUAUGACUUAGUGGCGGACGGGUGAGUAACACGUGAGCAACCUGCCUUUCAGAGGGGGAUAACGGCUGGAAACGGUCGCUAAUACCGCAUGAUGUGUUCGGAUGGCAUCAUCUGAACAUCAAAGAUUUAUCGCUGAAAGAUGGGCUCGCGUCUGAUUAGAUAGUUGGUGGGGUAACGGCCUACCAAGUCUACGAUCAGCAGCCGGACUGAGAGGUUGAACGGCCACAUUGGGACUGAGAUACGGCCCAGACUCCUACGGGAGGCAGCAGUGGGGAAUAUUGCACAAUGGGGGAAACCCUGAUGCAGCAGCGCCGCGUGAAGGAUGACGGUUUUCGGAUUGUAAACUUCUUUUCUUAGUGACGAAGACAGUGACGGUAGCUAAGGAAUAAGCAUCGGCUAACUACGUGCCAGCAGCCGCGGUAAUACGUAGGAUGCAAGCGUUAUCCGGAUUUACUGGGUGUAAAGGGAGCGCAGGCGGGACUGCAAGUUGGAUGUGAAAUACCGUGGCUUAACCACGGAACUGCAUCCAAAACUGUAGUUCUUGAGUGAAGUAGAGGCAAGCGGAAUUCCGAGUGUAGCGGUGAAAUGCGUAGAUAUUCGGAGGAACACCAGUGGCGAAGGCGGCUUGCUGGGCUUUAACUGACGCUGAGGCUCGAAAGUGUGGGGAGCAAACAGGAUUAGAUACCCUGGUAGUCCACACUGUAAACGAUGAUAGCUAGGUGUGGGGGGUCUGACCCCUUCCGUGCCGGAGUUAACGCAAUAAGCUAUCCACCUGGGGAGUACGACCGCAAGGUUGCAACUCAAAGGAAUUGACGG
rnacentral:rRNA from 1 species